rnacentral:tRNA from 1 species
AGCCGCUGUUCAGUUGGUAGAACAUCUGCCCGGUGAGCGGAGUGUCGCCGGUUCGAUUCCGGCUCGUAGCUU